CAGGCCUAACACAUGCAAGUCGAACGGUAACAGGAAGAGCUUGCUUCUUGCUGACGAGUGGCGGACGGGUGAGUAAUGUCUGGGAAACUGCCUGAUGGAGGGGGAUAACUACUGGAAACGGUAGCUAAUACCGCAUAACGUCGCAAGACCAAAGAGGGGGACCUUCGGGCCUCUUGCCAUCGGAUGUGCCCAGAUGGGAUUAGCUUGUGGUGGGGUAACGGCUCACCAGGCGACGAUCCCUAGCUGGUCUGAGAGGAUGACCAGCCACACUGGAACUGAGACACGGUCCAGACUCCUACGGGAGGCAGCAGUGGGGAAUAUUGCACAAUGGGCGCAAGCCUGAUGCAGCCAUGCCGCGUGUAUGAAGAAGGCCUUCGGGUUGUAAAGUACUUUCAGCGGGGAGGAAGGGAGUAAAGUUAAUACCUUUGCUCAUUGACGUUACCCGCAGAAGAAGCACCGGCUAACUCCGUGCCAGCAGCCGCGGUAAUACGGAGGGUGCAAGCGUUAAUCGGAAUUACUGGGCGUAAAGCGCACGCAGGCGGUUUGUUAAGUCAGAUGUGAAAUCCCCGGGCUCAACCUGGGAACUGCAUCUGAUACUGGCAAGCUUGAGUCUCGUAGAGGGGGGUAGAAUUCCAGGUGUAGCGGUGAAAUGCGUAGAGAUCUGGAGGAAUACCGGUGGCGAAGGCGGCCCCCUGGACGAAGACU
rnacentral:rRNA from 1 species